GCACAUGUAGCUCAGUGGUAGAGUGCUCGGUUGUCAGCCGAACGGUCGCGGGUUCAAUCCCCGUCAUGUGCGCCA
rnacentral:tRNA from 1 species